rnacentral:misc_RNA from 1 species
UUUCCGUAGGUGAACCCGCGGAAGGAUCAUUAAUGAGUUGUCAUGGGGUUCGAUGCUGGCAGCCAGUUUUUGGAUGCAUGUGCUUGCCCUAACAAUCAUCUUCUUCCAAACACCUGUGCACAUUUUUGAGGGAGUCUUGAGUUGGUUGCCGCUCUUGGGUGAUUUUCUCACAUUCCCUUAAAUCAUUAUACGCUAUUAACAAUGUUGAACGUGCUCUGUGCCUCAAGGCCAUUAAUAUAAUACAACUUUUAACAACGGAUCUCUUGGCUCUC